GGAGCCCAGGCUGUUGCUUCCCAGUCUGAUGGUGAAUCCUCCAUGGUCUGGUGAGUGAAGUGUCUGACUCUGGAGCCCAGGCUGUUGCUUCUGACUCUGGAGCCCAGACUGUUGCUUCCCAGUCUGGUGGUGAAUCCUCCAUAAUCUGGUGAGUGUAAAUAUAUAUAUAUAUUCCCUUCUUCCCUUCCCAUUGCAAUUUGCUUAUUGUAUCAAUCUGUUUAUUAUAUCAUUUGCUUAUUAUUAUAUCAUUUGCUUAUUAUAUCUGCCUUGCCAUUUACAUGGGAUAAAGUUUGUUUACCCUUAAAAGUAUUGUGUGUGUGUCUUUUUUCUCCCCUCAUGCAUUUCCUGCACAGAACAAUAUGGAAGUGACUGGAACUGGGUAACAGGCAGAGGUUGGAUUCCAAAUUUUGAAGGACUCAGAAGAAGACAGGAAAAUGUGGGAAAGUUUGAAACUCCCUAGAGACUUGUUGAAUUUCUUUGAUCAAAAUGCUGCUAAUUAUAUGGACAAUGAAAUCCAGACUGAGGUGGUCUCAGAUGGAGAUGAGGAGCUUGUUGGAAACUGGAGCAAAGGUGACUCUUGUUAUGUUUUAGCAAAGAGACUGGCAGCAUUUUCCCAUGCCCUAGAGAUUUGUGGAACUUUGAAUUUGAGAGAGAUUAUUUAGGGUAUCUGGUGGAAGAAAUUUCUAAGCAGCAAAGCAUUCAAGAUAUGACUUGGGUGCUUUUAAAGGCAUUCAGUUUUAAAAGGGAAACAGAGCAUAAAAGUUAGAAAAAUUUGCAGCCUAUCAAUGUGAUAGAAAAGAAAAUUCCCUUUUCUGAGGAGAAAUUCAAGCUGGCUGCAGAAAUUUGCAUAAGUAAGAGUAAGUCAAAUGUUAAUCACCAAGACAAUGGGGAAAAUUCUUCUAGGGUGUUUCAGAGACCUUUGUGGCAGCCCUUGCCAUCACAGGCCUGAAGGGCUAGGAGGAAAAAAUAGUUUUGUGGGCCAGGCCCUGGGUCCCUCUGCUGUGUGCAUCCUGGGGACUUGGUGCCCUGUGCCCCAACCACUCCAGCUGUGACUAAAAGGGGCCAAAGUACAGCUCGGGCUAUUGCUUCAGAGGGUGGAAGCCCCAAGCCCUGAGAGCUUCCAUGUGGUGUUGAGCCUGCAAGUGCACAGAAGUCAAGAAUUGAGGUUUGGGGCCAGGCAUGGUGGCUCACACCUGUAAUCCCAACACUUUGGAAGGCUAAGGUGGGCAGAUCACUUGAGGUCAGGAGUUCAAGACCAACCUGGCCAACAUGGAGAAACCCUGUUUCUACUAAAACUAUAAAAAUUAGCUGGACGUGGUGGUGCACGCUUGUAAUCCCAGCUACUCAGGAGGCUGAGGUUGGAGAAUCACUUGAACCCAGAAGGUGGAGGUUGCAAUGAGCCAAGAUAAUGUCACUGCACUCCAGGCUGGGUGACAGAGCAAGACACUAUCUAAAAAAAAAAAAAAA
rnacentral:lncRNA from 1 species